AAGCGCUUGCGACCAGAACUCGCGCCGGUCGGAUCAUCCAGUGGUUUCCGCUGGUGCACUCCGCCCGGCCCGGGCCAGCAUCGGUUUCGGACGGGGGACAAAGGCCCAGGGAACGUAGCUCACCUUCGGGUGAGUGUUAUAGCCCUGAGCGUAAUACCCCGGCCGGGACCGACGACCGCGCUUCGGCAAGGAUGCUGGCAUAAUGGUCAUCAGCGA
rnacentral:rRNA from 1 species